CAGGUUCCGCCCCUUUCUGCAGAACCAGGGGUGUGGCUGAUGUGACGUCACAUUACACCACGCCCACGACUUUAUAGGGCGUGGUCCUGGGCGUGGCCGGAAGUGACGUGGGCGGGGCGGGGCCGCCCGGAGAUGGUUUUGGGGAGGAUUUUUGGGGGGGAAUUUUUGGGGGGGAAAUUUUUUUGGGGGAUUAUUUUGGGGGGAUGGAGCCCUAGAGGAGGAUUUUUGUGGGGGGGGGUUUAGGAGGAUUUUUUGGGGGGAUUUUUAGAACGAUUUUGGGAGGAUUUUGGGGGGGGAUGGAGCUCUAGGGUGGGAUUUUUUGGGGGGGGGAUUUUUGGGGCUCAGCCCAGAGGGUCCCCACCCCCCUUCCCCCCCCCCCCCAGGGACCCCCCGGCAGCGGCUCCGGCCCCUCCGCCCCCUCCCCAUCCCCUGGAGACCCCUCCCCAAACCCCCCCCAUCCCCUAUAGGACCCGGCCUCCCCCCUCCCCCCAUAGAUCCGCAUUUCCCGGGGUCCCUUCCCCCAUAAGCCCCCUCCCCAUCCCCCCAUCCCCCUCCCCCCAUCCCCUAUAGGACUUCCCCCUAUAGCCCUGCCCCCCCCCCAGGACCCCCCCAAAUUCCCCCAGAACCCCCCUCAGGUAAAUCCCAGGUGAUCCUACAGGUGACCCCCAGGUGAGACCCCCCCCCCAAAACCCCCCCAGACCCCCUCAAAACCCCCCCAGGACCCCCCAGGACCCCCCCGCCCCCGGUGAUGGAGUUCCUGCGGCGCCGCCUCUCGGACGGGAAUUUCUUGGCGGGGGGGGGGAUGGGAGGAGACCCCCCCCCAGCUGGGGGAGGGGCGGGGAGACCCCCGCGGACCCCUCCCCCACGGCGCCGCUGCUGCUCGUGAUCGCCCCCCGGCACGGACUGGGUGAAACCCUUCAAGGGCAAAUCCGUGCACGGGGACGUGGAGCUGAGGGUGGAGCAGGAAGGUGCGCCCCGAUUUUGUGCUGGUGCGGGAGGAGCCCGAGGGCGGCGCGGGUGGCGCCCCCCGGCGGCUGCUGGUGGGAUUGCACCUGGGGGGGGUCCCGGGCAGCGACCCCAUCCCCGCCCUGUACGGCUUCAGCCACCAACCCUGCCUGUUUGCCCAGUUGGCUCGGCUGCAGCGGGAACUGGGCCAUGAGGCCUUUCCACUGGUGCCCCAGCGCUUCUGCAACCGGCCCCGGGGACUGGUGAGCACUGGGAGGGACUGGGAGGGACUGGGAAUGGUGUCACUGGUCUCUAACUGGUCUCUAACUGGUGUCACUGGUGUCCCCAGC
rnacentral:lncRNA from 14 species